UUCAAGCCUCCCAAACUUUCCAAACACCCCAAAACAAGCAUCCAACUUCUCAAACACAUGCAUACAUCCUUAACCAUGCACAAGGGAGCUUAAUAGCUUGAUUAAACUCCAAAAACAACAUCAAGACAUACAUAGAUAGCUUAUGACCCACAUAGGCCAAAACCAUCAAAACAACCCCAAUCAUGCAUACUCUCUCCCAUAUGCUCAAGGGGCUUGAAAACUAACUUAAACCCCAACACAAACAUCACAAUAACAUACAUUAUCAUACAUUGGGCAUAAAACCCACA
rnacentral:lncRNA from 1 species